rnacentral:rRNA from 1 species
UACGUAGGUGGCAAGCGUUGUCCGGAUUUACUGGGCGUAAAGAGCGCGCAGGCGGUCAGAUAAGUCGAAUGUGAAAGCCCCCGGCUCAACUGGGGAGGGUCAUUCGAUACUGUUCGACUCGAAGGCAGGAGAGGGAAGUGGAAUUCCCGGUGUAGUGGUGAAAUGCGUAGAUAUCGGGAGGAACACCAGUGGCGAAGGCGACUUCCUGGCCUGUUCUUGACGCUGAGGCGCGAAAGCUAGGGGAGCAACGGG